rnacentral:rRNA from 1 species
UACAGAGGUCCCAAGCGUUGUUCGGAUUCAUUGGGCGUAAAGGGUGCGUAGGUGGCGUCGUAAGUCGGGUGUGAAAUCCUGAGGCUUAACCUCGGAACUGCAUUCGAUACUGCGGUGCUUGAGGACUGGAGAGGAGACUGGAAUUCAUGGUGUAGCAGUAGAAAUGCGUAGAGAUCAUGAGGAAGACCAGUGGCGAAGGCGGGUCUCUGGACAGUUCCUGACACUGAGGCACGAAGGCCAGGGGAGCAAACGGG